CUACGGGCGGCUGCAGUGGGGAAUAUUGGACAAUGGGGGAAACCCUGAUCCAGCAAUGCCGCGUGUGUGAAGAAGGCCUGCGGGUUGUAAAGCACUUUCGGUUGGGAGGACUGCUUCUAGCACUAAUAUUGUUGGAAGUUGACGUUACCUUCAGAAGAAGCACCGGCUAACUCCGUGCCAGCAGCCGCGGUAAUACGGAGGGGUGAAGCGUUAAUCGGAAUUACUGGGCGUAAAGCGCGCGUAGGCGGCUAGAUCAGUCGGGUGUGAAAGCCCCGGGCUUAACCUGGGAACUGCAUCCGAUACUGUCUAGCUUGAGUACAGGAGAGGAGAGUGGAAUUCCACAUGUAGCGGUGAAAUGCGUAGAUAUGUGGAGGAACACCAAUGGCGAAGGCAGCUCUCUGGCCUGAUACUGACGCUGAGGUGCGAAAGCGUGGGGAGCAAACAGGAUUAGAUACCCGUGUAGUC
rnacentral:rRNA from 1 species